GUAUGGGAAGGUUGGCUCUAUUUCACUUCCACUUCCUGAGAUGACCGCCUGGAUUAACCCACCCUGAAUUUCAAAGAUUUCCCAGGGCUACUACCGGGGGAGGGGGCAUGGGGCAGAUGCACUGAGCUUGCAAACCAACUCUCUGAGGGGCAGGGUGUUCUCACAGUGACUUGGACAGAGAUUCCUUCUCCUCAGGACACACCCAGAAGAGGCCGUUGUUUUAGGGUACCUGGGGAACCUAUGGCCACGUUCAUGGUGCAGACUAA
rnacentral:lncRNA from 1 species